AUUGAACGCUGGCGGCAGGCCUAACACAUGCAAGUCGAGCGAGCGGCGGACGGGGGAGAAAUGUAUGGGGACUCCCCGAUAGAGGGGGAUAACUACUGGAGACGGUAGAUACUACCGCGUACUCUCGGAGAAUCCAUAUGGGAUUAGCUAGUGGGUGGGGUAAUGGCUCACCUAGGCGACGAUCCCUAGCUGGUCUGAGAGGAUGAUCAGCCACACUGGAACUGAGACACGGUCCAGACUCCUACGGAGGCAGCAGUGGGGAAUAUUGCACAAUGGGCGCAAGCCUGAUGCAGCCAUGCCGCGUGUAUGAAGAAGGCCUUAGGGUUGUAAAGUACUUUCAGUGGGGAGGCGUUACCGACAGAAGAAGCACCGGCUAACUCCGUGCCAGCAGCCGCGGUAAUUC
rnacentral:rRNA from 1 species